rnacentral:tRNA from 1 species
AAGACUAUAGUUUAUAAAAAUACUAACAUUGGAAGUUAGAGAUCUGUUGACAACAGUAGUCUUA